GACGAACCGUGCAAACGUUGUUCGGAAUCACUGGGCUUAAAGGGCGCGUAGGCGGGUCGGCACGUCUGCGGGUGAAAGACCACAGCUCAACUGUGGCAGGGCCCCAGAUACGGCGGAUCUAGAGGGAGGUAGGGGUCUGUGGAACACCAAGUGGAGCGGUGAAAUGCGUUGAGAUUUGGUGGAACUCCGGUGGCGAAGGCGACAGGCUGGACCUCAACUGACGCUGAGGCGCGAAAGCUAGGGGAGUGAACGGG
rnacentral:rRNA from 1 species